CUUAAGCUUGUAUGUUACGAAAAUGCUUACAGUUUUGUAGUCUUCGUUGCAGACCCAGAGUUAGUAGAUGCUAUUUCAGACAUGUCAAAUCAAACGAUAAUCGAUCGACAAAGGAAAUGGUUCUGCACAUGCUUCCUACCGCGUGUUUAACCAGCUUGUGGUCGACGUGCAUUACCAAAGGAAAUCUAAUCGGGAACCACGAUCAGUUGCAGCAUCAGAAAAGUACAGCUCAAAGGAAUCAACUAAACUUCCUAGUGACAGUGAAUUUAUCAGGUCAAGCAAAAUUUUCCAUCUGACAAAAUAGCAGUACUAGUGGAUGCCGUACAAAAUUACUAUAAAGUGGAAAAGCUGACACCAGAGAUCGUGGAGAUGGCUAAAAACCUCGAAGCUCAUGUGCAUCCUGGUGGAUUGUUGGCAUCGGAACGCCUGUGGAGGGGCAUCAGUAAAGCAAUCGACUGAUGGCGAUGAAGGGUAUGGCACGUAUUCGCCAGCAAAUCCAUAAUAAAUAGACAACGAGAUUAAUCGGAUACGGACGCUGGUGAAAAUGACAUAGAUGCAUCUAUCCACGAAGCCCAUACUUGCCCCAAUUUCUUAUAUAUCCGUUUAAAAAAAAAAAAACAAAAAAAAAACAGUAUGUCACCUCUUUGAAUUCCACCCUUUUCAAACACAUUGGUUCAUCUUAGAUAUAUUGUACUGAUAAUUUUCUAUUUAAAUUGAUCUUUUCGGGGGCAAGAUAAACUUAGGCAGUAUAUAGAACAAUAGUGCGAAACGAAACGUCACGUGGAAAAAUCCCUUAAAUCUUGUUUGAUUUUACGUCACUUGCCUUCGUCAUAUCUGCCUACACUCCGCCUACCAUUUGCAUUCCGACGGCCAACGGCACAUCAAUUUGGAACCAUUGUUUUUAGUUUGAUUUGUACUCGUCAAAGUUGGACUGUUUUUUGAGGUGUCCAUUUGGGAUUUUUUUUUUGUGGGAAUGAUCAUUCGAAAUUCACGGGUUUUGGAAGUUGUGUUAUGCCGACUGGGCUCUCCGUUACCGAAUUCUCUUAAUCAAAACGUAGAUCUUCGCAAUUUGCUUGGCUGUUACGUCACCAUUAACCGAUAUACAAUGGCUAUUGAACGGCGUGAGCGGAUGCUAGAGAAUACACUGACAUGUCUAUAUGAUCAAGAGUCCUAUUUUGGACUGAUUUUGAUGUACUGGUUUAAAGGAAAGUAAAAAGAAGGAAGAUGUAUGCUGGAUUUACUUCGGCAGUUGUAUAGGGAUGAUAGGAUUGCAACGAUCGAUAACGUAAACAGACCCAAACACCUUUCGUAGUGCAUGUCCGCCAUAGCGUCCGUACGCAUAUUAAAUGUGCACGUGCAAUCAAACAUCUUGUUAUUUUAUAUUGAGCGUUCGUAUUAUGCGAUUUCCGAGGAGACGGCACGACACUUUUAGCUGCGAUAAGUUUCGUUAGGGCACGGAGCGUGCCCUGCCCUUAAUACCAAGUACGUCAUUGACGUUCAGUUGUUGUGGAUCAUGUGCUAUUUAAGGGUGCCCUAAUUGGUUUUUCUUUUAACACGUUUCCAACGUUCUCUUGAAAUGUGAAAUGUCUUCUCUGUGGGCCAACGCCAACGUCAUGUUUUAACCAAACUCUGUCGGCUUAACAAAUCUGAACUUAAAUAGCAUGGCUUUAAAAUAAUGUUAGAUACUUAUACGUUGGCGCCCAAAGUCCCACGAGAAAUUCAAGGGCGAUGGAAUUAUGAUUGCCUUUCGCAAAGAUGACUUUAUCAUUGAUUUCUCUCGUCAAAGCGUAUCUUGAACAUCAAAUGGAUAGUAACCGUAGCUCCUUUAGCAUUUGCCAACUUGUUAAGACAUUAAAAAAAUGGCAAAUGAAAUGAAACAUUGGGCAAUAACAGUUUAAUCGGUGACGUGCAAACGUAUAGCUGUAAGAGACUGUAUGUAAAGAGAAUCGACUAAAAACUUGCUUUAUUGUAGGAAAGGUAUAAGUAUAUAAGUAUUAUUAAUGGCGAAAAUUGCGUUGUCCGUCAAGC